GUGGGUGUGUGUGGAUGCAACGUAGUGUUCCCGGUUUUAUUUUGUUUAAGCGACCUUUUCUGAAGUGUCAACCAAGGAUCAAACACUGGUCGUUGCGGGAAUCGGCUUCAGAGGGCCAAGGAUGGCGUCUUGAAUCGCUGUUCAGUCGACAGGCAACUGUAUGACAACGCCAUCCCUGUCAACCAGAGCGUCGACCGAAGUAGGGCGGCGUUGAGCGGACCUGGCCGCACCCGACCAACCGGCGGAGUACCUGACUCGGGCUGGGCGGAGACUACCUACAUCACGACCUUUUGAACUUUGAUCUCGUGGCGAGAAACAAUAUGACGUAAGGAAGUGUGUAUGUGGCUGGCGGGGCCGAGGGUGAAAUGCGCCACGUGUUUAUCCUGCCGGAUGACGACAGCGUCACCAACCUGUCAAAGAACGAGCUGGUGCAGCGCGUGAUGACUGCUAUCUCGUCCCUAGAACCGGAGUAGAAAAACGUGCGCAUAGCCCAGAUGAAGCGAACCAAAACACAGACAGGACUGAUAGCUUUUCGGUCGAGAAUGUUCUGAAGAUGCUGAUCAGUAGACCAAUUGGUGACCGUUUUCGGUGGUAAUAUGGGAUCUUGUGGUGUUCCAAAGCGACCUGCUUUGGGUGUGGACAUAAGUGGCUCAACCUGACAGGAUCGAUGUUUUAGGUAGCCGUGCUAAUCAUAAACCCUAUAUUGAGUGUAUCUGUACAAAUUUUGUUUAUAUUUAUUUCAUGUAUUUGAUUCGAAACCAAAAACUGCUCUUUGUAAUUAGGCAACAUCGAGACGUUGAGGUCAUUCUCCAGACGUUUAUUUGUUUUUUCUUACCUGUCCACGGUAUGUCUUAUUGGUUAGGUCUCAGUUUCAAAUAUUAUGAACUGCAUGUUUUGCAAAUACGUAGCCAUAUUGAAUAAGAGACGUGUCCUAAAAGUGAGUAUUGCUUUGCAUGGGAUGUGAGCAUCAACGACAGGGCUUUGUGAUGGCAAAUGUGUGGCAAUUGCAGGGAUCGUUGUGAAAUGUGUUAUGAAUAUCAUCGUAUUAUUUGCGAAUGCAAAUACAUCCGUGUAUCAUA